rnacentral:rRNA from 1 species
AGGCCACUGCUAUCGGGGUUCGAUUAAGCCAUGCGAGUCGAGAGGUGCAAGACCUCGGCGCACUGCUCAGUAACACGUGGAUAACCUACCCUGUGGAGGGGGAUAACCCCGGAAAACUGGGGAUAAUACCCCAUAGAUUAGGGAUGCUGGAAUGCCCCCUAGUUCAAAGGUCCGCCGCCACAGGAUGGGUCUGCGGCCGAUUAGGUUGUUGUCGGGGUAACGGCCCAACAAGCCAUUGAUCGGUACGGGUUGUGGGAGCAAGAGCCCGGAGAUGGAUUCUGAGACACGAAUCCAGGCCCUACGGGGCGCAGCAGGCGCGAAAACUUUACAAUGCGAGAAAUCGUGAUAAGGGAACCCCGAGUGCCCGUAAAUUCGGGCUGUCCGUCAGUGUAAAUAACUGGCGAAGAAAGGGCCGGGCAAGACCGGUGCCAGCCGCCGCGGUAAUACCGGCGGCUCGAGUGGUGGCCGCUAUUACUGGGCUUAAAGCGUCCGUAGCUGGGUUGUUAAGUCUCCUGGGAAAUCCACCGGCUCAACCGAUGGGCGUUCAGGAGAUACUGGCAACCUAGGGACCGGGAGAGGUGAGAGGUACUCCAGGGGUAGGAGUGAAAUCCUGUAAUCCUUGGGGGACCACCUGUGGCGAAGGCGUCUCACCAGAACGGCUCCGACAGUGAGGGACGAAAGCUGGGGGAGCAAACCGGAUUA